GACGAACGCUGGCGGCGUGCUUAACACAUGCAAGUCGAACGAAGUGGCGAACGGGUGAGUAACGCGUAAUCAACCUGCCCUUCAGAGGGGGACAACAGUUGGAAACGACUGCUAAUACCGAAUACUGAAGGAGGGGAUUGCGUCUGAUUAGCUAGUUGGUGAGGUAACGGCUCACCAAGGCGAUGAUCAGUAACCGGUCUGAGAGGAUGAACGUGCACAUUGGGACUGAGACACGGCCCAGAAUCCUACGGGAGGCAGCAGUGGGGAAACUUCCGACAUGGAGGAAAGUCUGACGGAGCAACGCCGCGUGAGUGAUGACGGCCUUCGGGUUGUAAAGCUCUGUUAAGCGGGACGCGGUACCGGAAUAGAAAGCCACGGCUAACUACGUGCCAGCAGCCGCGGUAAUAC
rnacentral:rRNA from 1 species